GACGAACGCUGGCGGCGUGCUUAACACAUGCAAGUCGAACGGAAAGGCCCUGCUUUUGUGGGGUGCUCGAGUGGCGAACGGGUGAGUAACACGUGAGUAACCUGCCCUUGACUUUGGGAUAACUUCAGGAAACUGGGGCUAAUACCGGAUAGGAGCUCCUGCUGCAUGGUGGGGGUUGGAAAGUUUCGGCGGUUGGGCAUGGACUCGCGGCUUAUCAGCUUGUUGGUGGGGUAGUGGCUUACCAAGGCUUUGACGGGUAGCCGGCCUGAGAGGGUGACCGGCCACAUUGGGACUGAGAUACGGCCCAGACUCCUACGGGAGGCAGCAGUGGGGAAUAUUGCACAAUGGGCGGAAGCCUGAUGCAGCAACGCCGCGUGCGGGAUGACGGCCUUCGGGUUGUAAACCGCCUUCGCCUGUGACGAAGCGUGAGUGACGGUAAUGGGUAAAGAAGCACCGGCUAACUACGUG
rnacentral:rRNA from 1 species